AUCGCUUCUCAGCCUUUCUGGCUGACAGCCAGUGUAGUGUCUGCUCCUGUCAAUUUAAUAUAUGGCACACCCUCUAUCUGAGGCUGUGAUGGGAGGUGGGGUUUUGGUGCAAGGGGACAGAGCACGGAGCUUGCUCGUUUUCCAUUCUAUACAGUCAUCUGGUGUUGCCCCUGGGGGUAACUAUC